rnacentral:rRNA from 1 species
UAAUACGGAGGGGGCAAGCGUUGUUCGGAAUUACUGGGCGUAAAGCGCACGUAGGCGGCUAACCAAGUUGGGGGUGAAAGCCCAGGGCUUAACCCUGGAACUGCCUUCAAGACUGGUUGGCUAGAGGCCGAGAGAGGUAAGGGGAAUUCCUAGUGUAGAGGUGAAAUUCGUAGAUAUUAGGAAGAACACCGGUGGCGAAGGCGCCUUACUGGCUCGGAACUGACGCUGAGGUGCGAAAGCGUGGGGAUCAAACAGGAUUAGAUACCCUGGUAGUCCACGCUGUAAACGAUGGGUGCUAGAUGUUGGGAUCCUCAGGGUCUCGGUGUCGCAGCUAACGCGUUAAGCACCCCGCCUGGGGAGUACGGCCGCAAGGUUAAAACUUAAAGGAAUUGACGG